rnacentral:tRNA from 1 species
CCCUUUCACGGCGGUAACAGGGGUUCGAAUCCCCUAGGGGACGCCACUUGCUGGUUUGUGAGUGAAAGUCACC